CUGGUGCGAGGGUGCUACGCUGAAACACCCAGACGCAAGUCAAAAUAGCGUCCAAUGUCAGAACGCUGCUCUUGCUAGCAUUUUUAGCCGGAUGGAGUCCGGACGCUAUCCUUGAUAGCAUGCAAAGUGUUUGUAGUUCAAGUCUAGCCGUCAAGUCUAGCAACGAAUCUCUGCACGUGAGUUUGAAGAACAGUUUGAACACCGAACGCUUCUUUAAUUGGAGUCCCGAGCUGCGACAUUCUGCACAUCGGACACGAUUUAUAUUGGCUUCCAAACUGUGCAACUUCCACUACCCCUUAACCAACGCUCUCAUUUACAGCACUCUCUCGUCCCUCUCAUUUACAGCACUCUCUCGUCC
rnacentral:misc_RNA from 1 species